AAUCAACGCUGGCGGCGUGCCUAACACAUGCAAGUCGCACGAGAAAGGGGAGCAAUCCCUGAGUAAAGUGGCGCACGGGUGAGUAACACGUGAAUUAUCUACCUCCGAGUGGGGAAUAACUGAGAGAAAUCUUAGCUAAUACCGCAUAACACUUACGAGUCAAAGCAGCAAUGCGCUUGGAGAGGAGUUCGCGGCCGAUUAGUUAGUUGGCGGGGUAAUGGCCCACCAAGACGAUGAUCGGUAUCCGGCCUGAGAGGGCGCACGGACACACUGGAACUGAAACACGGUCCAGACUCCUACGGGAGGCAGCAGUGGGGAAUUUUGCGCAAUGGGGGAAACCCUGACGGAGCAACGCCGCGUGCAGGAUGAAGGUCUUCGGAUCGU
rnacentral:rRNA from 1 species